GAAGAGGACGUGUCGGAUACCGAUUGGAGGAUCGGGAAGGAAGCAGAGAUAUAAAAGGGGCUGGUUUAUGAACAGGGGAGUCGGUUCCGCUGUUGUUCCACAUGAUACGGAAGUUGCUGGUGUGGCGUGGAUGUUGUGAUUUACGGGCUGCAACGGAGAAUCCAAGGAAAGGGGAGAUUGGAAGUGCGGAGGAAGUUAAGUGAUCAACCUUUUGUAUGUUGUGUUUACAUCUUAUUGUGGAUUGAACUGAAGGAGCGAUCCUAUGUUUGGAAGGCCCCUGAGUGAAGGAGAUCAUUGAAUUCGUAUUGGGAGAGGACAACACUGUGUACUGUGUUGAUAGUCGUGCCUUGCGUUGGAGAUCGCUGGGAAAGACGGAGAGACUCCGGUGUAUGAUAUAUAUACGCCUGCUGUGGUCUGCCCCCUGCCUUCGUCCAUCUGACACGCCCCGCCAGGACUCUGAGCCCGAAACGGGACUACACCACGGAUCUUCUUUCACUGAGUGUGUGGAGUGCGGUGAGUGCUCCUAUAUUGAAGUGUACACACGAGGAGAAUUGUAGUGCCUUUGUGGUGUGUGGUGUUUGUCCGUGGUUGUGUCCCCGGUCGUAGGAAGAGGCCUGACAGAGAGGAGCAGUGUAUUGGUGGCAACCAUAGUCUUUACCUUAAGUAAGCUGGAGCUUGGAUGUGUUGGAGGCGCCUCUGGAGGAGCAACCACCGGCCUUGUGCGUGUCGUCUGUGCUGUCUCUUUGACGAGGGAAGCGAAGGACAACAGCCGAUCCUCCCCCGUGUGCCCCCUUGCCAAGCUGGGCGGGAAGCCCAGUAUUG